rnacentral:rRNA from 1 species
GAUGAACGCUGGCGGCGUGCCUAAUACAUGCAAGUCGAGCGAACAGACGAGGAGCUUGCUCCUCUGACGUUAGCGGCGGACGGGUGAGUAACACGUGGAUAACCUACCUAUAAGACUGGGAUAACUUCGGGAAACCGGAGCUAAUACCGGAUAAUAUAUUGAACCGCAUGGUUCAAUAGUGAAAGACGGUUUUGCUGUCACUUAUAGGUGGAUCCGCGCCGCAUUAGCUAGUUGGUAAGGUAACGGCUUACCAAGGCAACGAUGCGUAGCCGACCUGAGAGGGUGAUCGGCCACACUGGAACUGAGACACGGUCCAGACUCCUACGGGAGGCAGCAGUAGGGAAUCUUCCGCAAUGGGCGAAAGCCUGACGGAGCAACGCCGCGUGAGUGAUGAAGGUCUUCGGAUCGUAAAACUCUGUUAUUAGGGAAGAACAAAUGUGUAAGUAACUAUGCACGUCUUGACGGCACCUAAUCAGAAAGCCACGGCUAACUACGUG